UCCCAGUGGCUUACAGACCUGUUUGUGCUGU
rnacentral:piRNA from 1 species